CCCUUAGAUGUUCUGGGCCGCACGCGCGCUACACUGAUGCAUUCAACGAGCCUAUCCUUGACCGACAGGUCCGGGUAAUCUUUGAAUCUGCAUCGUGACGGGGAUAGAUUAUUGCAAUUAUUAAUCUUCAACGAGGAAUGCCUAGUAGGCGCAAGUCAUCAGCUUGCGUCGAUUACGUCCCUGCCCUUUGUACACACCGCCCGUCGCUCCUACCGAUUGGGUGUGCUGGUGAAAUGUUCGGAUCGGCCGUUUGUCGCGGUUUCCGCGUCAUGUGGCUGAGAAGGUCAUUAAACCCUCCCACCUAGAGGAAGGAGAAGUCGUAACA
rnacentral:rRNA from 1 species